rnacentral:rRNA from 1 species
CGAUCUCAAAUCAGGCGGGACUACCCGCUGAACUUAAGCAUAUCAAUAAGCGGAGGAAAAGAAACUAACAAGGAUUCCCCUAGUAACUGCGAGUGAAGCGGGAAAAGCU